rnacentral:rRNA from 1 species
GACGAACGCUGGCGGCGUGCUUAACACAUGCAAGUCGAACGAUGAAGCCCAGCUUGCUGGGUGGAAGAGUGGCGAACGGGUGAGUAACACGUGAGUAACCUGCCCUUCACUCUGGGAUAAGCACUGGAAACGGUGUCUAAUACUGGAUAUGAGCAGUGAUCGCAUGGUCAUUGUUGGAAAGAUUUAUCGGUGAUGGAUGGACUCGCGGCCUAUCAGCUUGUUGGUGAGGUAAUGGCUCACCAAGGCGACGACGGGUAGCCGGCCUGAGAGGGUGACCGGCCACACUGGGACUGAGACACGGCCCAGACUCCUACGGGAGGCAGCAGUGGGGAAUAUUGCACAAUGGGCGCAAGCCUGAUGCAGCAACGCCGCGUGAGGGAUGACGGCCUUCGGGUUGUAAACCUCUUUUAGUAGGGAAGAAGCGAAAGUGACGGUACCUGCAGAAAAAGCACCGGCUAACUACGUGCCAGCAGCCGCCGUAACAC